rnacentral:tmRNA from 22 species
GGGGCCGAUUUGGAUUCGACGCCGGUGAUGAAACUUUAGGUGCAUGCCGAGUUGGUAACAGAACUCGUAAAUCCACUGUUGCAACUUUCUAUAGUUGCCAAUGACGAAAACUACGGUGCUCAACUAGCUGCGUAAGCAGCCUAGCCGCACUUCUGGUAGCUUCGGCUCCAGCAAUCAUCAGGGGAUGCCUGUAAACCCAAAAUGAUUGUCAUAUAGAACAGGAUCGUCGCCUAGUACGUUGUGGACGAAGCGACUAAAACUUACGCAACUCGCCCAAUGCACCCUGCCCGUCGGGUCGCUGAGGGUUAACUUAAUAGACACGGCUACGCAUGUAGUACCGACAGCGGAGUACUGGCGGACGGGGGUUCAAAUCCCCCCGGCUCCACCA